rnacentral:rRNA from 1 species
AGAACAAAGGGAUCCCCUAGUAACGGCGAGCGAACGGGGAAGAGCUCGUAGCCGAAUCCGGAGCCCUUGGGCUUUGGAAAUGUGGCGUAUGGGAGGCGGCAUUCUCCGUGCGAGGUUUGGGGUGCAAGUCCCCAUGAGAGGGGCAUGUUUCCCGGAGCGGGUGCUAGGCCCUUAUCGCCCCGGACCCUACGCGCGGAGUCGCCGUCCUCCUGGGAGUCGGGUUGCUUGGGAGUGCAGCCCAAAGUGGGUGGUAAACUCCACCUAAAGCUAAAUAAGACCGAGAGACCGAUAGCAAACAAGUACCGUGAGGGAAAGUUGAAAAGCACUUUGAAGAGAGAGUUCAAGAGUACGUGAAACCGCUUGGAGGUAAACGGGUGGGGCCUCGAAAGCCUAAGGCGGUGGCGGAUUCAGUUCCGGGUAGAGGGCUCCCUACCGGACCUGGCCUUGCUGAGAGGAGGCCCGGGAGGGUUUUGGGCUCGAUGCUCGGGGCGCACUUCCGCACCCCGUCCAUUGGGACGUCGCAACGGGUUGGAGGGCUGUCGCGGGGCCCCCGCAAAAGGUGGCCGCCUCUCCUCUCGGGGAUUGGCRGUGUUACAGGCGCGGGGAGGCCUGAGGAGCCCUCCGACCGUGGUGGAGGUAUAGCCUCGAUUUCGCUCCCGCCCUCUUUUGGGCAGCGGCGUCCAGGUGGCAUCCGUCGUGCGCAGGCGCGUCGCCUUGUGGGGCGAAGGCCUCGUGCGUGCGGGUUUCCGCCAAGGUCAACGCGGGGAGCCGGAGGUUGGCGACGAGUAGGUCGGUCUCCCACCCGACCCGUCUUGAAACACGGACCAAGGAGUCCAAUGCGCGUGCGAGUUCCCGGGACUUGACCAGGCCCGUGGGCGCAAUGAAAGUGAAGGUCGACGUACGUCGUCCGAGCUGGGAUCCCUCUUAGUGGGGGYGCACCAGCGGCCCGUCCGUGCCCGGGUUCCGGGCGGACGGAGCUAGAGCACGUGCCUUGGGACCCGAAAGAUGGUGAACUAUGCCUGGGCAGGGUGAAGCCAGAGGAAACUCUGGUGGAGGCCCGUAGCGAUUUCUGACGUGCAAAUUCGAUCGUCAGACCCUUGUAUAGGGGCAAAA